rnacentral:rRNA from 1 species
CCUACGGGAGGCAGCAGUGGGGAAUAUUGGACAAUGGGGGGAACCCUGAUCCAGCCAUGCCGCGUGUGUGAAGAAGGCCCUCGGGUUGUAAAGCACUUUCAGUGAGGAAGAACGCCUGGUGGUUAAUACCCAUCAGGAAAGACAUCACUCACAGAAGAAGCACCGGCUAACUCCGUGCCAGCAGCCGCGGUAAUACGGAGGGUGCGAGCGUUAAUCGGAAUUACUGGGCGUAAAGCGCGCGUAGGUGGCUUGAUAAGCCGGUUGUGAAAGCCCCGGGCUCAACCUGGGAACGGCAUCCGGAACUGUCAAGCUAGAGCGCAGGAGAGGAAGGUAGAAUUCCCGGUGUAGCGGUGAAAUGCGUAGAGAUCGGGAGGAAUACCAGUGGCGAAGGCGGCCUUCUGGACUGACACUGACACUGAGGUGCGAAAGCGUGGGUAGCAAACAGGAUUAGAUACCCUUGUAGUC